AAAAAUAGUGACUCAAGUAACGUGGGACAAAGAGAGUAUAUACAUUCGUUCAUAAUAGUAGUAUAUCUUUUGCUUUUUACAUCAUGAAAUAUAUUUUCAUAGUAUAACACACGGAAUUACCCAAUUAUGAAUUUUAUAUUUAAUAAAUGUACGUGCAGAACUUUAAAAAAGAUGCUAGAAAAAUUAUUAUAUGUGUGAAAUUCAUAAUUAAAAUCACAAAUUACUUUAAUUUAUUGUCAGUACUCUAUGAGGUGGUUGGUGGAGUUUUUCAUGGUUUGGUGGGAAAACAAAGAGUCUUGGUGGUAGUUGUAGAUCUCCAAAACAUUAUCAACCAUGUGUUCUAACAACACACUUUAAAAAGCUUUGAAAGAAUUCCUCUAAUAUUAGUUUAUAGGAGUACUUUUUCAUAUCUAGGGAUGAUAAUGCUUGCAAAAUUAUUUUAAUUUUUUUGUGUUGAUACUAAAUAUUAUGAUACACAUUACUUUUUAUAACUCCAUAUAUUGGUUCAUUAAUCAAUGAAUAAUCUGAUAGUUAGUGGGGAGCAGCUAGCUUUCUUUUUCUUUCGUCAGUUAUCAUUCUUGAGAUUUUGUUUUAAUAAUAAUAAUAACACUCCAUUUUAUCCCGAUGAAGGCAUGAUUAUUAAUUUUGAUAUACAUUAAAUAUAGUAUAAUAUUUUUAGGAAUAUAUAUGGUGACCUUGAUAUUUAUUGGAUAAAUAAUGCAUCACAUUCAAACAAAACAACAUUAGCUAGGGUUGUGGGUAGGCCUUCCCCUAGUUGAUAUAUAUAUAUAUAUAUAUAUGAGGCGCUUAUUGAUGGGUAUUAUUAUAAGCAUUAUUGAUGAUUCUCCAUCACAUGGUAAGUUUCAGCUCACUAAAUGAUACUACCGUAAUCUUAUCAAUGUAUUUUUAUUAAUGUACGGUAUUUCUUUUUAAGCCGUCUCAUUACAGAUCUAGUCAUUUACCUUUUUAGAGAAUUCAAAUACAUUUCAUUUCUUUUAUUUUAUUCUUUCUCCUAUUUUAUUAUAGUACUUUAUUCUUACAUUACUUAUGUACUUUAUUAUUGCUUCUAUUUAAUUUAUUCUCAUUUCACUUAAUUAAAUAAAUAUAUAGUAUUUCAGUAGUUCUUAAUCUCUGUGUAAAAAAGAAAAUGAUACAAUUCAACCAGUAAGAUACUUGUUAUAGCUCGUGAUUGAAGUAAUUGAUUAAAAUAGGGAUUUAGUUACUUGUUAUGGCAUGUAAAUUCCGGAUAGUAUAUUAGUUUUGAGAGUGAAAGGUUUCGCAAAGAUUAAACCCCACCCGUCAGCCAAAUUCAAUUUUCGCUCGUGUGAACUCAUUUGCAUUCAAUUUAAUAGCAAUUGUUCGCACGAGCCAAAGAUAAUUGACAUAGUUACAUGAUUGAUUUUUGGCCUAUAAAAUCUGCCAUUGAUCCACCCUUUUAUGGAACCAACAUCACCCCUUUCAUUUAUCAACCGUUUUCCCCUUAGAUUUUACAUCUUCAAAUAUCCGAUAGAUUAUAGAUUACUAACUCUAGAUCUCCAAUAAUUUCUUAUACGCAUCAAUGGAUGAGACCGUACGAACAUGAUUUGGAGAAUUCCAGAAAGCGGCUGGGAAGUGAAGAUUGAUAGGGUGAGUGGUGUCCAUGCUAAGCUUGUCAACUGAGUAGUCUCCGUUGCUGUUAUCUUUUGUUUCGUUGUCUGUUCGACCUUAUAAUUUGCUUGUGAAAACCCUAGUUUUACUCUCCUGCUUUAUUUUUUGAAAAUCUUUUAUAAAGCCAAAUUUUCUUUUUAUAUGGUUUGUUUUAGAGCAAUGAUAUGAAGCUAAUUAAUACUAUAAUCGUGAUGCAGGGCAUAUAUAUGAAAGAGUGAGAUAUGUGUACUAACUACAGAUUUAUUAAUUUUGUUUUGUUUUACAUCAUCAUGAUUUAGUUUCCUAAAUCUGUUUAUAUGAAAAUUAUUGAUAUAGAAACACGUUGAAUAACUAUUUUUGCAGUAUAAUGAUGAAUGAUUCCACAAUACUUUCAAAUUAGUUUGCAAUUGCAAACGAGCCUAUGAAUAGCUAUUUUUUGCUCCCUUGAAAACAAAAUUAGGUAAAAUAAAAGUUUUUAUUGGCCCUAAAAGCCUAUUAUACAAAAGUAUAAUCAAAUUUAUAUCAUGUUUAACAUAUUAUAAGGUCGAAUAGACAAUGAACCAAAAGCAUAACAAGGCAAGGACUACUAAUUUGCCAAGACUUUGCAUGGAAAUCAACACCUUAAUUCAGCAAUGCAAGGAAGAUAUACAUCUAAAGUUUCAACAGUCAAGAUUGCGCGGUUUCUGCUUGAUUAAUUGACUGCUGAGAUUGUACAAAAUGACCAACUCAAUAGUGCUCGUUCGCGCAACUGAACUCAACUCAAUGAUCAUUCUUUUUUUGUAGGGACUCCAUUGCCUAUAUAAGGGUGGAGAAUGCAUGUAAUUCAGAAUAUCAAUGAGAACAACAAUCCCAAAUCUCAAAUUACAACACUUUUGCUUCAAAUUCAGACAGAGCAAUUAUAUACUGUAUGUAAUUAAAGUAGGGUUCAUAGUGGUACCAUUAUUGAGACGGGACAAAUAUAAGGUCAUGUCGAAGACACGUGAAUAUGGUAGCGACCAUUGAGUUAGAGCAGUGGUUUACUUGAUAAGAAAAGACUUUUAUAUGGCUGUUUGCUUCGUAGAUUAGAAUUUGGUGUCCAUUCUACCCAUCAAAUUAAUUAAGAGCCAGGUGAAUGAAGAAUAUAUUUCAAUAAUUAUUAGAGUGAGAAUUGAUGGGCACGUCAUAUUGUGAGAUAGUGAUACAUACCAAACAAGAGAAGCCGGCCUAAAUGAUUAAUCUGUUAGGAGAAAGAGCUCAUUUAAUUCAUAUACUAGUUGUUCUCACAACCAAUGUGGGACAUUGAAUCCGUAAUAUUUGACCCUCCUUUAAGGGCCAACGUCCUCGUUGGUCACGACUGGUUCUUUGCCAGGUCACCACUAUGUGGUCCACCACUCCAAGUUCUCGUUGGUGAAGACCACGUUGGUCAUGGCGGAUUCUUUGCCCGGACACCACUCCGUGGGUCACCACACGGAGUCGGCCCCAAACGUACUCGUUGGUCACGGCGAGUUCUUUGUCCGGCCACCACUCCGAACCGUUUGGGCUCUCAAUGAAAACACCAAUUGUAUAGAUCAAACAUGAGAACUCGGCCCAAAAGACUAGCCUGUUAGGAGAGAGAGACCAUUUAGUCUAUGUACCAUACACCAGUUAUUCUCACAACCGUUGUGGGACACUGAGUCCGUAACAAAUGUAGACCAAGAUUCAUAAGACAAUGGUCUGAAAUGGUUAGAAAGACUAGCUUGUUGCACUUUGAAGCUGAGUGUUUUGGUGUGAGGUUCUAGUUUAGUGUAGAAUGUGUCGGUUCUCUUAUUUAUUA